GGGGGUUUCCAUCAUGGCGUCAAUGCAGAAAAGGUUACAGAAGGAGCUAAUGGCUUUGCAAAAUGACCCACCCCCAGGGAUGACUUUAAAUGAGAAGAGUGUACAAAAUUCAAUAACGCAAUGGAUUGUAGACAUGGAAGGAGCACCAGGCACAUUAUACGAAGGAGAGAAAUUUCAACUUCUCUUCAAAUUCAGUGGUCGUUACCCUUUUGAUUCACCUCAGGUUAUUUUCACUGGUGAUAAUAUUCCAGUUCAUCCUCAUGUUUACAGCAAUGGACAUAUUUGCCUCUCCAUUUUGACAGAAGACUGGUCUCCAGCUCUCUCUGUGCAAUCAGUCUGUCUUAGCAUCAUCAGUAUGCUUUCCAGUUGCAAAGAAAAGGUAAUCCAAGAGGCGGCCUCCUGAUAAUUCAUUUUAUGUAAGGACGUGUAAUAAAAAUCCAAAGAAAACAAAAUGGUGGUAUCAUGAUGAUACAUGUUGAUGUUCAGAUUCUUGGAAUCUGGUAGAGGAAAAAGUACUGCUGAGUCCAAAAGCACUUUGAUCAGUCAAUUUUUGAACUUUAACACAGACUUGCCUGCAGGCACUGAAAACUACUUCCUUUACUGCAUUUCUACUAGUGUAUAUCAGGGCACAUACUGAUAGCUGGUUAAGUUCCUGCAACUGACCCUAUUUCAUUUAUUAAGCAGUAUUAAUGCAGCACUUAGGAAGAAAUCUUGUAAUUUCAACAAUAAAUCAUCUCUGUUGUUUAGUUUACUGUGAGGAUAUACCUUGUGAGAAGGUUUGAAACCCUCCUGUGUUGUGCAAUAAAUGGUUAUUGGCGCAUGCUUGGAGAUUUAAAACAAAAGGAAAUCUGUGCAAUAAGAGCAAAGGGAUCCAUUUUAAUUGACGUUUGCAACUGUAUUAUUGUACUAAGUUUAAUGCAUUGCUGUCACGUGGCAUAUUUUGCUGUGACAACAAAUUUAAUUCAUUCAAUGAAGCAUUCCAAAACUUAAAAUUUUUGAAUACCAAUUGUCUCAAUUAUAUUUAAUUUAUUUUACUUGUGCCAAAUUACCUUUUGAAAAAUAUUUUCUUCAUGGGUAUUUGUCAGGGUCAUUGACUAGCCUUCAGUGUGGGCCUCAUUCUCCCAUUUUCCCAAAAAGACAGUUGUAAACUGGAACGCAACCAUGAUGUAUUGUUUCACAUUCAUUUUGUUUCUCCAAUGUCACACUUUUUUGUUGUCAUACUUGAAGCUUCUGAUAUGAAAUGUAUUUUGAAUGAAAAGUUGUUUUGUCAUAAUACUGUCUCCUGUAAAUUAUUUCACAUGUAUCUGACACCUUGUCUUUAAUUCUUCAUGCUCUAAAAGUUACAAUCCAUCUUGAAGGAUAUAAUUAAUGUUUUGACAUAUUACUUAAAGAUGUUUAACAUAUAUGUUGCUGUGUUGCAGUUUAAUAGCUUCUCAUUAUGAAAAAGAUAGAAGUAAUCUUUGUUAUACCAUUAUUUAUGAAUGAAAUUAAAUUCUGUAGGUUGGAAUUUGAAAGUAACUGUAAAAAUAUGAGGCUUGAAUACUCUAUACCACUAUUGCAUAUAUUCUUAAUGGCAAAAUUAGGGCUGAAAGCUGGAUGGAAAAUGAUUUCAGGGUGCACCUGUUGAAACCUCCAAAGAUGAUACCUGAGGUAGAUCAGAGUGGUGAUUCUUUUUCCCCAAAGGACUGCUAAUCUGUGUAAGAAAUAUAACCUUUUGUGUACUGAGUCGCCUUUGUAGCAUUCACAAAUUGACAUUUGUUGAUAUCGGCACCACCAUUUUUGCAAAAUUUCUAAUAUAAAAUUCAGAGAAGUUGGAAACCAUAUUAUUAUUCAUGGUAACCUGAUAAAUAAGACCAACAUGGUCAGAUAAUAAUUAUUUUCAGUAAUGCAACAGCUCCACUACAGGGUUAAAUCAUUAGUUAUACGAUCCCUUUCUCAAAUAUGCAAAAUUGUGUUUUUUGUGUAAAGGUGUUAAAGAAAACCAAAUAUAUUUAGCUUUCCAUUUUAUUUUAGUUUUAUUGAUCGGUAGCUUUGACUUCCCUAUAAACUAUUCACCAACAACUUCCAUGAACAAAAUUUAGCUGAUUAAUCAGAGCAUAGCCAGCCACGCUUCUGAAUUCAUUGAUUUUGGGCAACGUCUGUAAAUACUGUCCUGUACUUCAGUCUGAAGUGCCUAUAUUACCUGUUGUUUGCCAUAUUAUGGUCAAGUUAUAUUAGGGGUAAGGCUCAUGACUAACACUUCAGGUUAAAUUGCUUGCAAAUCCAUCUACUGGCUGAACAUUUUCUUAAAUUAGGAUUGCUUGUUCAUCACAGAUUAAGGGAGUUUUAACAUCUCAACAAAUGUCCACUUUUUCAGAUGGCAUUUGUGUGAAACCACAAUUUGUGUUUAUUAAGUCAAAACAUUAUUUCCCCAAUUAUGUUUGGACAUGGGCUGUGCAGCCUGCAAUAUUUUGGGAGAAAUUUAUCUCAACAAAUUCUAAAUACCUAAAAUGCAAUAUUAAAGCAUUAUCCAGACAUUUAAGUGUAUAAUUUGACAUCUCUGCAGGACCAGUGUUAAAUUUUAACUAGACUCAGCUUAUCUUUUUUAAAAAACAAAAUGCCAGCUAAUUGACUUGAUGUAGCCUGAAUGUAGUCUAUAUUUGUACAGAUCUUGCAUUUGCAAACGUUUUAACAAAAUGCUGCAUUUACCAUUUGUUAAUAUCAUUGGAGGUGGAAAUAAUCUCAUGGUUUGUGGUGUUAAUUUGGCACUCUGGGUCAAAAUUUGUAUACUGUUAAUUGUACCAUAUUUUGAGUGUUACACUGUGGAGGAAAAAUACAUGGCAAUGAAUUGGCUAAAGAAAAAAUAAAUCUUAGUUUUAUACAAUAGAGCACUUAAAUAAUAACAUUUAUUUCUGAAUACAGCAUAGUAUACUACAAAGGAUUUUCUAAGCAUUGUUUUCACUUCUAAACAUAGUUUUGACAACAUUUUAGUAAAUGUGUCAUUAAAUGGGGAUUUCUUAGUAUGCUCUGAGCAGGCCAUAUGUAGAAUGUUCGUGCCAUUUUUUAGAAAUCUGGUAGAUUUUCAGAAAUCCUUUUUUCAUCCCAUCCAGUUCUUCCUGGCCUAGUAGUGAAGAAUGUAAUGAACUGCUUUUUGCCAAGAAGGGUAUCUACUGAGAAUUUAAUUAACAUUUUAAAAUUCGAUGAAUGUUUGAGCUCUAUAAAUUUAGUAUGUUCUGAACAGUGCCAGACUAAGUUCCCCGAUGCUGAAAAGCUUGUGAAAAUCUGAAUAGUAAUUUACCUAGAACAGAGGCUUAAUCCUUCAAUCUGGCUGUGGAAAUUCUACUUAUUUUAGCUUUUAUAGCUGCAAUAUUAUGUUGAAAUUUGUGUUAAUGUUGCUUGGUUUUGUUUGGAUGUGAAAAAAUGUAGAUUGUUGCCAAUAUAGGCAUUUUUUUUAAAAUGGCCUUCCUGAUUUAAGGAUCUAUAGGUGCAUUCUUGUUAUCUCUGGCCUUGAGAUUUUAUUCACCCAGCAUUGGGUUUUUUGUUCCUUCCAUUAUCUAAAUCCUCAGCAGCUAAGCAGAUCAGGUGACUCCAUUGUGCUAAACCUUAAAAAUCAUUAAAACUCAAAGUUCCAGCAACAUGCGCACUAAACUGAAAUGGCUGUGAAGUGAAUGUCUUUUGGUUAGAGAGAGGAUUCCUAUUCCUGCUUGUUGUUCAGUUACUCUUGAUAAAGAGAUAUGUGUGACACUGCUAGAUCAUAUUUGACUAAGCUAUGUUUUAAACGUGAGUAGCCCACCAGGGACAUUCAGAAUUGAUUUUACUAAAGUAGAACAUUGUUUAUGACUGUGUACUGUUUUUGGAUGUGUUAUUAGCUUCAGAAGAAAAGAAUGUUGGAAGUCCCUUGGACAUGAAAUUUUGAUCCAGGGAAAUCCUUCCAUGUAGACCAGGAACUACAACCUACACGACUGAAACAUUUUCCAUGAAGUGAUUUCUACAAAUUUCUAAAAAUGUUGUUUGUUGAAUGUUACAUGUGAGAGUUCGAAUACUUUUAAAACUUUUCAUGUGCAAAAUAACUGCCCAAACAUACCUCGUACUCUGUUCCCAAAGGAUGUUCUGAUCUACAAAAUCACUGUAAUCAGUAGUAGGAUGAAAGUGCAUUUUUAAAAAAAAUUCACUUAAAUAUUUGAUGUAACUGUUGGUAAAUGCAGUGCCCAGUGCAAAACUUCACCAUACGGAUAGGAAGUUACCAGGUUCUACCCCCACACUUCUUAGCAAGUCCAUGUCACUUAAGAUUGCAGGGGAGAUUUAACAAUGAGAUUGUAGUGCUUGAGGGUUGGGUUGAGGAUGGAGGGAAUAAUGAGAGUUCUUGCAUGUCCUCUCAGAUCAGCUGCUCCUGCUGUAAAUAAAAGUGUGGGUUUGGAUGAGGCUUGUUUGAAAUGGCCUCAAAUCAGGAACUGUCAAAUUGAAAAUCACAGGACAGGAGUGAAUCUGGGUGGGGAAGCCUCAAUUUUGUUACUACAUUCUCUGGUUCCUGCAUAUUGCAUAUUCCUUGAUCUUCUGAUUUCAGUUUAAUUUUCAUUCAUUCACCUUUUUAUGCUGUCAUUUCUGUAAAUGUUACUUGCAGUUUUUACUCAGUGGAAGAAAGAAAAGUGAUGCACAGUCAUGAGAAUUCUUCUGUGAACAUGUUGUUCAAUGAAUAAUCACUUGUGUAUUUUAUAACUGGUCACAUUCACCACCAAUCGAUUGGGACAGCUUUCAUAAUCCUGUCUAAGUUCUGUUCCCUUAAAAAAAAUUGGUUUAUUUCUAAUGCAAGGACAAUGACAUGCAACAUAGUUGUUUUGAAAUAAUAAAA